rnacentral:rRNA from 1 species
UACGUAGGGUGCAAGCGUUAAUCGGAAUUACUGGGCGUAAAGCGUGCGCAGGCGGUUAUGUAAGACAGGUGUGAAAUCCCCGGGCUUAACCUGGGAACUGCAUUUGUGACUGCAUAGCUAGAGUACGGUAGAGGGGGAUGGAAUUCCGCGUGUAGCAGUGAAAUGCGUAGAUAUCGGGAGGAACACCAGUGGCGAAGGCGACUACCUGGCCUGUUCUUGACGCUGAGGCGCGAAAGCUAGGGGAGCAAACGGG